UGUAUAUAAAAGGCAGUUUAGAAAGCCAGAGGGAGCAAGCCAGUGAGCUGUGUUCUUCUGGUUCCUAUUUCAGUUCCAGACUCCUUGCCUUGGCUUUUUUGGUGAUGAGUUGCAAUUUGACAAAGCAGCAGCAACUGAAGCGAGAUCAACUUCUCACUACCGUCCCGUCCACAAGGAGUUAUGUGAAACAUGUGCAUGUCUAGCACCUGUGGAGGCCAGAACAGGGUACUACGUCCCCUGCAAGUGGAGUUACAGAUGUCCGUGCACCAGUAUGCAAGUGCUGUCAACUGAACUUGGGUUUUCUAUAAGAGUCAUUGUAAAGGGAAGCCUUCCUGCCAGCCUGGUUCCAGAGCCGCAUCAGUCCCAAAUAAACACACAGGAAGCU